rnacentral:rRNA from 1 species
UCUCAGUAAUGGCGAAUGAACAGGGAUUGGCUCAGCGUGGAUAUCAGGGCCCUGUGGCCUUGAAUUGUAGUCUUGAGAUGUGCCGCCAAUGGAGGCGUAGAUGUAAGCCUCUUGGAAAAGAGCAGCAGAGAGGGUGAGACUCCUGUCUGUCAUCCGCAGUCCUCCAUGUAUGGCGUAUUUUCUGAGAGUCACGUUCCUCGGGAUUGGAGCGCAAAGAGGGUGGUAAAUUUCAUCUACAGCUACAUACAGAUUCAAGACCGAUAGCAAACAAGUACCAUGAGGGAAAGAUGAAAAGGACUUUGAAAAGAGAGUUAAAAGUGCCUGAAAUUGCUGGAAGGGAAGCGAAUCGAACCAGUCUCUGAAGGCAAGAUUGCUCUGUGCGAAUGCCGCAACCAGCUGUGUGAGUGAAAACCAUGUGGCUGGCUGUGAGUUGUACGCAUGGGGUGUCUCUUGUCUACGAUGUCAGCAAGAGCUCACAAGCAUGGACGACUCCAAAGACAUGGGAGCAAGCCUUCGGGUGAGCGAAUGUGUUUGGUAGAACCAGCUUGUGAUCUAGGUUUGUCGUGUCUGAGUGGAAUGCUKCACUGAGUCUGCAUUUCUUGUGUGCACGUGGUGCAGCUCCUUGACACCACGUGUGAUGACUAAAUGGUUCAAUUCGACCCGUCUUGAAACACGGACCAAGGAGUCUAACAUAUCUGCAAGUUUGUGGGUAAGGAAGCCUAUGUGCACAAUCAACGUGAUUGCUGUGAUGAUUGCAACAGCAACUGACCGAUCAACUGGGUGAGGAUUAAGUAUGAGCAUAUAUGUUAGGACCCGAAAGAUGGUGAACUAUGCCUGAGAAGGGCAAACUCAGGGGAAACUCUGAUGGAGGCUUGUAGCGAUACUGACGUGCAAAUCGUUCGUCAUACUUGGGUAUAGGGGCGAAAGACUAAUCGAACC